AUUACCUGUAAUGAAAAGAAAACUGAGUGGGUCAGGCUUGGGAGCCUGGUGAGCAUAUAGGGUUUUCAACCCACAAUAAUACAUUUGUUAUAUUCAAUUAUCAAACAAUCAACCCAAAUACCCAUCCCCAUUAUCUUCUUAAGGUUUCACCCUAAGAACCAACUAUCCUUCAUUCACUUAUUCCUAAGGAAUCGGCACGAAAUCCAUUGCUGCCAAAGUUUAUCUAACGAGUACUAAAUCCAUAGUUAUCAGACGCUAACUCCAUAGUCGUCGGGGUUUACUCAAGCGAUGCUAACUCCAUAGUCACCAAGGUUCACGUAACAAGCGCUAACUCCAUAGUCGCCAAGGUUUACUUAACAAGCGCUAACUCCAUAGUCGCCAAGGUUCAUCAAAUAGGCACGAAGUCACAUCGUCGCCAAGGUUUAUGCAAUAGGCGCUAACUCCAUAGUCACCAAGGUUUAUACAAAAGGCGCUAACUCCAUAGUCACCAAGGUUUAUCUAAUAAUAGGCGCUAACUCCAUAGUCACCAAGGUUUAUCUAACAGCAGGCGCUAACUCCAUAGUCACCAAGGUUUAUCUAACAGCAGGCGCUAACUCCAUAGUCACCAACUAACCCAUCUACCCAUGUUCUACCCAACAAUAUUAGUAGAUAAAAAUA
rnacentral:lncRNA from 1 species